GAUGAACGCUGGCGGCGUGCCUCAAACAUGCAAGUCGAGCGGGGCUAUGUAAUAUCGCAAGGUAGAACAUAGCCUAGCGGCGAACGGGUGAGUAACACGUGGGUAACCUGCCUGGAAGACAGGGAUAACGAUUCGAAAGGGUCGCUAAUACCUGAUAAUAUCCUUUCAUCGCAUGGUGAUAGGAAGAAAGGGGAAACCCGCUUUCAGAUGGGCCCGCGUCCCAUCAGCUAGUUGGUAAGGUAAAGGCUUACCAAGGCGACGACGGGUGGCCGGUCUGAGAGGAUGUACGGCCACACUGGGACUGAGAUACGGCCCAGACUCCUACGGGAGGCAGCAGUUGGGAAUCUUAGGCAAUGGACGAAAGUCUGACCUAGCGACGCCGCGUGAGGGAAGAAGGCCUUCGGGUUGUAAACCUCUGUCAUGGGGGAAGAAGUAAGUGACGGUACCCCAAGAGGAAGCCCCUGCUAACUACGUG
rnacentral:rRNA from 1 species